rnacentral:lncRNA from 10 species
AAAUGACUCAAAAAAUGUUAAAAGAAAAAGAAGUAAAAUAAGAACUGAUCAAAUUCAGGACAGAAUUUGUAAGAAAAGGACAGUCUAAGAAAUGAAGAAUAAAUAAUAUGUUUCCAUAGGAUAAUGAAGUGAAAUAAUAAAACAGAAUAAAAAGAAAUAAAUACAAUUAAGAUAGAGGUUAAAAAGAUCAGAAGAAAAUACAAAUGGAAGCUAGGCAAAGAAGAUCCAAAAUACCUAUUAUUGGAAUCUCUGAAGCAGAAAGUCAAAAUAUGAAAUGAAACUAAUAUUUACAACUGUAAUUUAGAAAGUCUGUAAAUGAAAGAGAUCUGUAUCUGUAUAUCAAUAUUUUACCCUAUAUGUUUGGAAAAUUAACCAGUAAUGUUCAACUCUGAGGUAUAUCCUUGUGAAAUUUUUACAAUUUAAAGAUAAGGAUAAAAACAUACCUUCUGGGCCUCCGGCAAAAAAAGAUCAUACAGUCAAGAAAGGAAAGAGAAUCAUGUUGGCAUCAGAAUGCUUUCCAGCAACCGGCAAAGCAAGAAUGAAGAGAAACAAUGUGUUCAAGAAACACGAGGAAAGAAAGUGAUAGUCAAAGCCUUUAUGUCCAGAUACACUGUUCUCCAAGCUAUCAGAGCUUUAAUAUUUUUUAAAAAAUAUUCAAAACUCCAGGAAUAUCAUCACAGAGCUCUUCCUGAAAACACUCUGAGAGAUAAGCUUCACGUUUACCAAGAGUGAUAGGGAGUACUUCAGCAAAAGGCCAGUGAGGACCAUGAGAAUUGAACCUGCCCCAAGGAAGGUCCAGCCUCUGCUUUGCUUGACCUUAAACCAGCUUGACUUUCAGAAAUGCAGCUCAAAUGGGCAGACCUAGGAUCAACCAGGCGGGGAUGUGAGUGUAGGCUGUGUGCAAGCUGCUCAGUUGUAAAAAUCCAAACUGAAAACAUGUUGCUCAUUUCAAUAGGAAAAUAUGUUCUCCGUGGAUUCCUUCCCCAGCUGUGGCUGCUUAAGAUAACAGACAGUCCAAUGACAGCAAUGAAAAGCACAGAGGGCAGAAAGCUGCAGCCUGCACAUGAAAAUUUGCAGAGGAGAAUUUGUGAAUUUGAGGCAUACAGGCAGGAGCAGACUGUCUUGUGUAGAGAAAUCAACAAAGAAGGACACUUUGCUGGCUCCCUACAUCAGUCAUGGAACACAGGAACCACAUUAGGGAGGUGACCCUUCCAGUACAGUUGGCUGCAGAAAAGAGCAGAGGAAGUGAGAGACACUGUGUGGCAGCACCUGCAAAGAGUGGUGAUAAGCGGUAAGUUGUGGGGGUGAUAUGGAGGGCAAGGAAGCUAGCAGUUGGCACAGUCCCCUCCUCAGACUCCUCCUGCAGGCCAGGCUGCCAUUACACGGCCUUCCCAGGCUGGGCCAAUCUCAGCCAUGCAGAGAACAUCUCUAACGGACUGUGUUGGGACCUAGGGUCACAGGGCUUCCCUGGGCACAGGGGUAUCUGUGGUUCCCUGGAGCACAAAGCAUGCACUGAGAUGAGCUCAUUUCUUCUCUGGAGUGUGAACGUUGAGUGGGA